GACUCUCCAGCCGCCCGGCCAACCAGCGGCUGGGGGAGUGUCAGGGGCGGGGUUCCCGUGUUGCGCUAUGGAAAAUCGUUAGGGGGAUACACUGUGAUAAACGUAUGCUCCGAGAUUGAUAAUACCGACAAUAAGGCUGAAACAGGGACCUGGUGGACUGUCCAUUCACAGGAAGACCAGGUCUGAGCGGGGCUGGUUGAGACUGCUUUGGCACGGGAGGGAAACAGGCUUGAGAUAAACACUCAACCCCACUUGGACCAGGAGCAGGACUGGAUGCCUGAGCCAGACCCAGGAGAGGACACAGUAUCCUAUUGUGCACUACAAAGAAGUCUACAGGGAGCUGCGGAGGGCUAUUUUUCCUCAGUAUGAUUCAUAGACAGUUUUUGUUGGGGUUCAUCUCUGGUGCCAGUCUGUUGCCGUGUCCUUUCUUACGCUGAGAUCUUGGUCAUCCGAUGCACUUGAGAUGCUGUGUCAUUCUUUGAGGAACUGACCGUGACUCAGUGCUUCUUCUCAUUGGUCUUGGUGCCAGCAAAGAGUCUGCAGCUUCCUGAGUUUCGGGUUCCUUUUUUGUCAGUCUCUGUUUCGUGGAAAGAGCUAGAACUCCAAUACUGGCAUUUGGAAAUACCACAAACUGAUCUAUAGACUAAAGCAUGCUAUGUUUGUUGCACAUAUUAGUUUUUAUAGUUAGUAAAAUCCAGUGUGCGCAAAUAUUUGCCUUUACGAUGCGUGUGAUAAAGCAGGUGGGUAUUCUGUUUCCCAUUAAAUAACACAAAAGUUGAAAUGAUGGUUAUCAAACAUUCUUUUAUGUAAUUUCAACACCACAACUGAACUUGAAGGCAGCGUUUCAAACAAACUGCAAAAGCUUACUUAGACAAAAAAAGGUUUUGAGAAAUCGGAGUUCUCCCUAUCGAGUAGCCAUUAAAACAACAGAUCUGUGACCUUAAGUACUGGAAUUUGUAUUUCAGCCAGAACAAAAACAAAUCGGUUAUUCAACUUUUUUUUCUGUCUUUGUUCAUUUGUCCAGGAUAACAUCCCGUUACCGUACCCCGUCUCCUAUCCAUAUCUCUUUAUCUUCUUCUACUCUACGAAUUUCAGCAUAUUCCUUCGCACAAAUCAAACGUACCCAUUUAGAAGCCUCUUUUAUGAUGGUAGUACAAUAAUUUACUUUGUAAAAUGCAUGAACAUGUUGAUUUUUUUUUUGUUUAUUUUUUUGCAGAAUGGGACAUGGCUUCUCAAGGUGUUUUGUCCAAAGGCAUCCUCCCCAGGGAACCGGUUUCAGGUGGUGACUUAGAGUAUAAAAUCCCAUCUAGCACCAUUUGAAAUCGGUGUUCUUGAGCAGGAACAGACCUCAGGAACGAUGACGACACUGACAGCAUCACUCACUAAGUUGUCAGAAAGUUUAGGAUUGCAGAUUGGGGCAUUGUUAGCAUCCAAAUUUUACACAUUUUACAAUUACACAUUAAGUCAUGAAUAUAUGAGGAUAUCCACUGAUGAUGGCAAAUAUGUGUCAGUUGGUUAUCUGGAUCAGUUCUUUAUACAGCAUACACCACCGUGAUCAGAACUAGGAGAAGAAGGUCUCGGAUAAAUCCAGUACCCCUCUCACCAGGGCUGACCGUUUUCGUCUGGUGUUCAGAGUUUCCAUCAUGUCUAGCACCAUUUGAAAUCGGUUACAAUGUGGAGGGACUAUCAACAAACCUCUGCUUCUCCAGUUGCAUGAUGAGUUCUCUUAAAGUACCAGAAGAUGGCAGCAUUGAGCUGCCUGCCAUGCAAUCACUGAAGGCCAUCAGGUUUGUUUGUUUAUAUAGGACCAUUGAAGUUUUGAAGGUUUUCCUGAAUGAUCCUUAUGAGGUACAAAACCAGCAAAGCUCUUGAAACAAAGCACAACUCUAUUACAUUGAGUUUCUCUUUAAGUGUGUUUGCUUUUUGCUUGCUUAAUCAUCAGUCAUGCUGUAAGUUUCAUUUAUCUUGUCUCGUAGUUUUCUUCCAGGGACAGACGAGAAAGAGAUUAUCUAGUCAAAUGCUAAAAGUACUUCUGAGGUUGUGUAUCUGCCCAGUGCUGAGCUGUCACAGUUUUUUCCCCCCUCAUAUUUAAAGACUAAAACAGUGCAACAUGGUAUCCAUAGCACUAUACUGAAUAUCCAUUAAUAAAGGUUUCAUUCAACUUUG